rnacentral:lncRNA from 1 species
GAUGUUGAUGAGAUGGAAAAGAAAAGAGAGAAUGUAAAAUAAAAUAUUGAGAGGACUGGUCAAGUGAGGAUUAGACUGGUCGGCCAGAAUGAGGGAUUGGCUCCCUGGUGCACACGUGAGAGGAUGGGCCAUGUGGGAGGACGGCUCAUCGGGGGUUUCGGUGACUCCACUGACUAAUUUCCACGUGAUGUGAUUAUUUGAAGGUGAUAUUGUUUGUGGGUGCUGAUGUAAUGUCAUAUGAUUGACUGUUGUGUGUUCAUUCAGUAUACUAGGGUGCAUUUUGCUUGACUGUAUGUGGUGUGUAUUAUUUAUUAUUAUUCACUGAGUUGCAAAACUCAUCCAUUCUCUCCAAACCUCCUAAGUACUAGGAAGCAGCUGAUUCGACUGAAGCUCUGCAAUCUUCUCCGUAGAGUUAUAAAUGUAAACUUUAUAUUUCUGUUAUUUAAUUUUGGAUGUAUAAGUUAUUCUAUUAUCAGAUUGUUAUUGAACUCCGCAGUUAUAGGGUUGUGUAUUACUAUUGGACUUA